CCCUUAGAUGUUCUGGGCCGCACGCGCGCUACACUGUUCGACGCAGCGAGUCUUAACCUUGACCGAAAGGUUUGGGUAAUCUUCAGCAAAGUCGAACGUGAUGGGGAUCGAUCAUUGCAAUUAUUGAUCGUGAACGAGGAAUUCCUAGUAAGUGCAAGUCAUCAGCUUGCGCUGAUUACGUCCCUGCCCUUUGUACACACCGCCCGUCGCUACUACCGAUUGAGUGGUUUAGUGAGAUCUCUGGAUUGACGCUGGCUAGGGGGCGACCCUUGGCCAGGCUGUCGAGAAACUGCUCAAACUUGAUCAUUUAGAGGAAGUAAAAGUCGUAACA
rnacentral:rRNA from 1 species